CCUACGGGGGGCUGCAGUGGGGAAUAUUGGACAAUGGGGGGAACCCUGAUCCAGCCAUGCCGCGUGUGUGAAGAAGGCCCUCGGGUUGUAAAGCACUUUCAGUGAGGAAGAACGCCUGGUGGUUAAUACCCAUCAGGAAAGACAUCACUCACAGAAGAAGCACCGGCUAACUCCGUGCCAGCAGCCGCGGUAAUACGGAGGGUGCGGGCGUUAAUCGGAAUUACUGGGCGUAAAGCGCGCGUAGGUGGCUUGAUAAGCCGGUUGUGAAAGCCCCGGGCUCAACCUGGGAACGGCAUCCGGAACUGUCAAGCUAGAGUGCAGGAGAGGAAGGUAGAAUUCCCGGUGUAGCGGUGAAAUGCGUAGAGAUCGGGAGGAAUACCAGUGGCGAAGGCGGCCUUCUGGACUGACACUGACACUGAGGUGCGAAAGCGUGGGUAGCAAACAGGAUUAGAUACCCCGGUAGUC
rnacentral:rRNA from 1 species